UACAGAGGGUGCAAGCGUUAAUCGGAAUUACUGGGCGUAAAGCGUACGUAGACGGUUGGAUAAGUCGGGUGUGAAAGCCCCGGGCUCAACCUGGGAAUGCCAUUCGAGACUGCAUAGCUAGGGUGCGGAAGAGGGAAGCGGAAUUUCCGGUGUAGCGGUGAAAUGCGUAGAUAUCGGAAGGAACACCAGUGGCGAAAGCGGCUUCCUGGUCCAGCACCGACGUUCAGGCACGAAAGCGUGGGGAGCAAACAGG
rnacentral:rRNA from 1 species